rnacentral:lncRNA from 1 species
GUAGGAACUAGAGUUUAGAAGGCUAUUGGAAUUAUUUCAAUUGGACUGUGAGCAGGUUUCAAGACUCUGUGCAGAUCUUUUAGGUGCCUGAAUGAAUGUUCAAGGAUUGGCCGAAACAAGAUGACAAAUAUACUGGUUUUAAGGUAGGCAAGGAUGUGGAAAGUAAAUUUGUUUCCUAUAUCGCUUGUUUCCUUUGAGGGAUGUAGCACAGGUUAAGCGAGAAGCGCGAUCAGAUCUGAUUUUUAAAGAAAAGAACCUCCAAGAGAAGAAGAAGAAAGAAGUUGGGGAAGAAUAAAUUACAAUGAGAAGGGGAAAUUAUGGAAAAGAACAGAGAAGAGUAAGAGUAGCUAAACCUAGCCUUUCUUCUUUUUCUUACAUCAGAAAAUCUUUUAAAUCUAUUUACGAAAGGGCUCCGAAAGCAUGACACAUGAAACCAGCUGCUGUUAGACCACAUUUUUAUCAGUUAAGCGGCCCUCACCUUGUUUUUUUGAUUCCAGCUAGGUCUCUUCCAGGUAAA